rnacentral:misc_RNA from 1 species
UGGUUUUUUUUUUUUCCAUAUUCUCACUGGAGUCGGCGUGUAUUCCACUUCCGAUAAAAGAACACCACAUGGCGAAUAUUAACACUAAGCACUCUCUCAUUAGCUGGUGUAGUUACUCGCUUUGACAGUGUGUUUGAUCUAAAGUUGACCAUCUAUCGCCUUCAAGUGGUCAUAUAAGAAGUAGCCGGUAAUAAUAAAUAAAUAAAUAAUAGUAUGAUAAUAUGUAGCAGAACGCUAAUAACGGUCAGAAUAGGACAAGAUAGGUAUAGGUGUAAUUAUAAGAUAUUGAGAAGUACAUGGAUUAGAGGAGUGAUUGUUGGUAAGAUUGGAGUAGAUCUGAAAGAAUCUGUGAGUGCUUUUAUCUUCUAGAAUAUAACUAAGUAUAAGGAGCAUUGGACAAAUAAUUAUAAGUAUGGAAGAUAAAUGGAGAGUAAAAAGGAAAUAGUAAAUUCUAAGAUGAUAUGUUAGGCAGGACAACAGUAUAACAAAUGGUAGAUAUAACUGAUAUCUUGUAAUAAAGCACAAUAAUUACAAAGAAAUAAUGAAACUAAAAAGGGAGACUAAGGGGUAUGAGCUAAACCUUGUUUAUCAAACAAUGGUAUACCAUAAAUGGUGGGAGAACAUUUCUCCUUCUUUCCAAAUUAGCUCAUGUUUCGAUUAUAGGAGAUUAUGUUAAGAAGAGAGGUCGUGUCAAAGUGACCCAAUUAAUUGAAAAUUUGAUGGACAUUAAUACAUAUCCAAUCUUUUGAGGCGAAAAUGACGAUAAUGGUGUACCUAAUGUUAAGUAUGAAAGAAUGAUCAGAGAGGUGACAGGAGUUAAAUUGAGCUAGUUACUAGGGCUUACAACACUUUUGAACUACAAGCUGGAGGAAGUGUUAUUUGUUAAUGAGUUACAAUGAAUGAAAUUGUUGCUAAUGGGAAAAGUUGAGGCUGAAGUUUGGAAAGCUAUGGAAGUUUGGAAAGCUAUGGGCAGUAUAUGUGAUUAUAUUAAG